CUCAUUCCCACCAGAGGAGCUCGCUGGUUAGGAUAGGGAUCAAUGCAUUUGCCAACAGAUUAACCUGAUAAACGUAAAAUUUAAUUACCUUGUGUACUAACACAGUAUUAUCUGUUUCAUAUGCCAUUGUACAGUGCAGAAACACAGCUCUUGUCUGAUCAUAUUGUGUGUUCUUUUUUUUUUACAAACCAGAAACAUAAACGGUUUAGAAAUGUUUGGCCGACUGAUGCAAAUCCGAGAUCCUUGAUUUUCUUUGCAAAACGCUUUCGGUUAUUUCGUGUUGCUCUUGACAAAAAUCAUGAGCCAAAUAGAAACUAAGCUGGCUUUGGAGGGACUCAUGUUUCACAAGCACAUAAGGUCCCCUCAAUACUUCGCUAUCCAUCUGAGUUUUUCCAAUACACCUUAAGGACCUCAUGGACACUUCUGCCUCUCUUAUACAGACUGUCUUUUGUUAUUAAAACGCAGGGUCUUUGUUAAGCCUUGGCUGCAUUGUGACUUUUAACUUUACACGUUUCUCCUCAAAACUUUUUAUUGAAGAAAAUGGCGUGGCUUCAAAUCAUUACCACCCUUACAAAAAUAACUUGGGAUUCACGUUGCUGCUCUUGAAGGCGAUUCAUGAAGACUGAAUGGUGGUUUAAUCUUGAAGAAGGAACUUGUGCCUUUUAAGAACCUUAGGUAGUUUUUUUUUGUUCAAGUGUGGAUCCUGAAUACAUUAUUUUGAAUAGCUUUGCAAAAAAUAUCCUAUAUGUAUUUUCUAGAGUGGCAUGGUGGAGUUACCACGGCUGCCUCACAGCUCUUGGCCCCUGGGUUUGAGUCUGACGUGGGGUGCCUUCUGUACGGAGUUUGCAUCCACUCUCUGUGUUGGCUAGGUUAAUUGGUGUCUAGCAGUUGUCCCUUCAUGUGUGUCCUGUGCUUCCUGAAUAGCUACUAAGCUGCUGUGACACCAGGAAUUAUCAACUUGCUGAUAAUGCAUAAUUCUAUUUACUUUAUUGCAUAUUUCAUUGUGUCUUGUGUUGCAUAUAUAAAGUGACCUUUAUGUUGCUAUUGAAAGUUAGAUUGUGGAUGUACAGAAUUAAUGUGUAUACUCCCUCUGCAUCUAAUGCCUUAUUACUUUUUAUUAUUUUAUAUUAUGUAAGUAUGGAUCCUGCCUGCAUUCAAGUCACUUUUAGGUACUCUUAUGCCAAGAUAAAUGAGGAUAUCCUCACACAUUAAAAUGACAAGGACCUAGCCCUAGGUACAUGUCUAAUCAUAAGAUACUCAAAAGCAAAAAAAUACAGUACACAUGUCUGUAUAGAUCUUUAUGCGUGCCUGUCCCACAAACACAAAAUUGUGGGACAACAUUUUAGAUAAGUAAUUUUGAUGGCCUGGAGUAUUUUUUUUCCUCUUUAUUUCUUAUUUCUUUUUGUGUGGUUUUGGUAGAUUAUUAAAAUAAAAUAGAAAAGUGAAAUUUCUGAGGUUUUGACACGUCCUAAAAAUCGUGAAUGCAAUAGCAGCUUUCUACAGUAAAACAAUAUCCAUGGAGUAGCAUAUUAUAUGGUUAGGAUUCGUCUAUCUUUCUGGAGAUUUCAAACAUAACAAUGUCCUACCAAAUAUUUUCAGCUUUUUAUGUCUCUGGAGCAAUAGGUUAUGGACAUUGUACAUUGAUUGAACUUUGAAAGUCAAAGUUUAUCCAUAACCUCAGUGUUCAUCUUGCAAUUAUAUUCUUUUCCAAGAUAAACAACCACACUGUUCAUCUGACCUGCAACUCUUGAGCACUCUCCUGCACUCCACGAGCUUAUGAAUCACAGCAGGACAUGCGAUACUUCCGUUUUACAAAUGAAAGUAGAACCCUUUCAUACUAGGAUCACUGUGGUAUCCCAUAUCAAGGUAAUAUUAUACCUUUUUCCUCUAUGUCACUGUGCAACUUUUAUUGCCAAAGCAAACUGACACAGCAGACUUGUUAGACAUGUGUGUAAUAGUAUUUGAAUAAUCAUUACAAAAAUAUUUUUUUAUCUUAUAUUUUCCUCUCACACCAAGAAAUGUUGACUAUUUAAUUGCUGGAUGGCAAGCUGAUUAUCAGCUGUUAAUUAACAACAGAUAGAGAAUUUAUACUCACUAACAAACAUGAAACUCUAUAUUGUUUGUAAUGUAUUUGAAUAGACCCAGCUGCUAUUCAUAACAGUAUACUUAACGGACUCAUUUACAAAAGCUGUUUGAAUACAUGCAUUUAAGUGGUCAUUAGAAAAUAGCUGACUUUUUCUUGUGUGGUACUGUCAGGAUGCCAAUAAGACUACCUGUGUAGAGUGAGUUAUAGACUUUGUAGGCUUUAAUACUAAGUGUGUUUGAAGUUGAUGUUUUGAUUGUAAACUAAAGCUUGCUUACUGGCCAAUGCUAAUUUUUAUAGUAACGUCACACAGGCCAGCUUCCUGUGUAAAUUCACCAUGUGAAUAAGGACACUUGGCAGAAGUGAUAUUCCAUGCCGUAACAGUUAAUUCUGCUUCUUUACUAGAAGGUGAAAGAAGCUUCUGUUGACUGUUGAGGUCUGAAGUACUGCCAAGAAACAAAUUACAAACUCUGACAAAAAAUUCCACUGUGCUACUCUGUGAUCAACAGACCACCAAAUAGAGUUAACAGCUUACAGUCAAUACAGUGAACCAGAUGGAUUUAAUGUCCACAGGAAAAUCCCUUCUGAAACUAAAAUAUAGCACUCUCAGAAUUAUAACUAGGGAAUAAAUGCACAAACAAGGUGGAGUGAAGUAUUAGAUUUUUGGCAACAUCACAAGUCCUUCCUUUGCAAAAGGUAGUGAUCACCCUAGAAAGUCAAUUUCUCCACAUUUAUAUACAACAAAUAAGAUGUUCUUCCAAAAUGAUUAUUUCUGGUGGGAAAUCACAGUUAUCAGUGACAUAAAACUUUGAUCAAUAGUAAAAAUAGGUAAAAUGGAUUCUCUGUAUGUUUUAGGUAACCAAAGAUAUUGGUACAUAUUGCUGGUAUAAUAUUUGGUGGGGGAAAGGUUAUAUUCUAAGUAAAGAAAACAUUGAUGGAGAAAUUAUAUUUUUUGUUAAUAUGGAAUAAUAAUAAUGAUUUCUACCUUUGAAUGAAAUACAUCAGUGUUAUAGCUAAUUACACGCACAGCCUGAUUGAACACCUUAUCCAACAGAGUAAAUAUUCAUCUUCUAUAUGUUAUUAUUGAAGGAAUAGGAGGCUUUUUGUCAGAACAUGAAUUAUUUGCUAAUCAGGGCUGGAGAUCAAGGUUGGUGAUGUCAAUAGAUCCAUGCAGCAGUGGAAAUGUAUAAUGUAGCUGUUGAUAUACUCAGAUAUAUCCAAACUCAAACAAUACAUAGAAUUCUGUAUAAGGAAUACCUACACCAUUGUGUAAACUUAUUGAGAAAAAACAUAUGAGACCCAUGGAGGCGAAUUAAGCAAACAAGCUGGUUACAUACAGCAGGAUGUACACAAAGGUCAUGACACCCCCCACCACCACCAACUGAGUAAUAUGAUGUGUUGGGCAUCCUUGAGCAGCAAAGACAGCUUGAGGAGGACAGGCAUGGAUUCCAGAAGGGUCUAAGGCAUGUGCAGCCAGAUUCCAUCUCAUUCUUGGAACAGGGUGUCAGUUCAGUUGUGAUUGUGACAAGAGUAAUGGUGUGUGGGAUUGAACUGCAUGUUCUACCAUUUGUUGUGUUGCUGUGGUUGUUCUGGCCAAGGAGGGAGAUGGACGUCUGUCUUGUGCUUCCCAAGCCAAUCACGAAUUGCCUGCAACCAAAAGAGUCUCUGUCUUGACUGGGCUCCCCUAAACGUUUGGCCAGUAUGUCAAGGCUGUCAAGCUGCAACUCUUAGUGAUCCAACAAAGCUGCUAUUAAGACCGAGGAGCUUUUUGAACAAGUCAGGGAUAAAGUGGUGGUGGAAGCACGGAGCAGGACAAGGGUACAAGAACAUUUCAAAGCCUCUGAAUAUCCCUCUCAGCACAGUCAACAUUGGUAUCGCAGCACCCGAACACUACCCAGAUCAGAUCACCUUCCCACACUGAGUACCCAGGUAAGCACGAAGCUGGUUUAGAAUGUCACUUUGUGGCCAGCAAUGACCUCGACAGAUCUGCCAAGUUCUGCACCCGAGAUGGGAGUCAGUGCCCGCAUAUCCACAAUAUUAUUUAACAGCCAUUGUUGAAAAUAAACUCAUCUUAAAUCACUUUUGAGAUAUACUGCAUACAUGAGCCACUUGUGGUCAGAUGGGACAAAAAUUGACGUUUUUGGUAUAAAUUCAAAGCGUUACGUCUGCACUAAGCCCAAUACAGCAUAAAAACAAGUCAACACAGAUCACCGCAAGUGUCAAGCAUGAUCGUGACUGCUUUAUGUUAUGGUGGAUGCCUCCUGUCAGCUGGGUUUGGGAAGCUUGUCAAGAGCGAGGGGGAAAUGAUACAAAGCAUAUGCAAAUCCCAGAGAACAACCUGCUUGAGGCAGUCCAAGAAAAUCCAAGACAAAUGGGAUAAAAUUUACAUUAUUUCAUAGUGAAUGGUCCUUGGGUAUCCCAGUCAAAGUCCUCACCUUGAUACAAUACAAAAUAUACAUUUCAAAGACUUGAGAUUUGCAGUCCAUCAUUGAUCCCCAGCUAACUUGUCAGAAUUGAAGCAAUUGUACCAGGAGGAAUGGGCACACAUUACACUGUCCCAUUGUGUAGCGCUGGUAGAGACCUAU